rnacentral:rRNA from 1 species
ACCUACGGGGGGCAGCAGUGAGGAAUAUUGGUCAAUGGGCGCGAGCCUGAACCAGCCAAGUAGCGUGAAGGAUGACUGCCCUAUGGGUUGUAAACUUCUUUUAUAAGGGGAUAGAGUGAGGCACGUGUGCCUUUUUGUAUGUACUUUAUGAAUAAGGAUCGGCUAACUCCGUGCCAGCAGCCGCGGUAAUACGGAGGAUCCGGGCGUUAUCCGGAUUUAUUGGGUUUAAAGGGAGCGUAGAUGGGUGGUUAAGUCAGUUGUGAAAUGUUGCGGCUCAAC